rnacentral:rRNA from 1 species
UUGUAUGGAGAGUUUGAUCCUGGCCCAUGAUGAACGCUGGCGGCGUGUCCUAUACAUGCCAGUCGAGCGAACGGACGAAAGCUUGCUUCUCUGAUGUUAGCGGCGGACGGGUGAGUAACACGUGGAUAACCUACCUAUAAGACUGGGAUAACUUCGGGAAACCGGAGCUAAUACCGGAUAAUAUUUUGAACCGCAUGGUUCAAAAGUGAAAGACGGUCUUGCUGUCACUUAUAGAUGGAUCCGCGCUGCAUUAGCUAGUUGGUAAGGUAACGGCUUACCAAGGCAACGAUGCAUAGCCGACCUGAGAGGGUGAUCGGCCACACUGGAACUGAGACACGGUCCAGACUCCUACGGGAGGCAGCAGUAGGGAAUCUUCCGCAAUGGGCGAAAGCCUGACGGAGCAACGCCGCGUGAGUGAUGAAGGUCUUCGGAUCGUAAAACUCUGUUAUUAGGGAAGAACAUAUGUGUAAGUAACUGUGCACAUCUUGACGGUACCUAAUCAGAAAGCCACGGCUAACUACGUGCCAGCAGCCGCGGUAAUACGUAGGUGGCAAGCGUUAUCCGGAAUUAUUGGGCGUAAAGCGCGCGUAGGCGGUUUUUUAAGUCUGAUGUGAAAGCCCACGGCUCAACCGUGGAGGGUCAUUGGAAACUGGAAAACUUGAGUGCAGAAGAGGAAAGUGGAAUUCCAUGUGUAGCGGUGAAAUGCGCAGAGAUAUGGAGGAACACCAGUGGCGAAGGCGACUUUCUGGUCUGUAACUGACGCUGAUGUGCGAAAGCGUGGGGAUCAAACAGGAUUAGAUACCCUGGUAGUCCACGCCGUAAACGAUGAGUGCUAAGUGUUAGGGGGUUUCCGCCCCUUAGUGCUGCAGCUAACGCAUUAAGCACUCCGCCUGGGGAGUACGACCGCAAGGUUGAAACUCAAAGGAAUUGACGGGGACCCGCACAAGCGGUGGAGCAUGUGGUUUAAUUCGAAGCAACGCGAAGAACCUUACCAAAUCUUGACAUCCUUUGACAACUCUAGAGAUAGAGCCUUCCCCUUCGGGGGACAAAGUGACAGGUGGUGCAUGGUUGUCGUCAGCUCGUGUCGUGAGAUGUUGGGUUAAGUCCCGCAACGAGCGCAACCCUUAAGCUUAGUUGCCAUCAUUAAGUUGGGCACUCUAAGUUGACUGCCGGUGACAAACCGGAGGAAGGUGGGGAUGACGUCAAAUCAUCAUGCCCCUUAUGAUUUGGGCUACACACGUGCUACAAUGGACAAUACAAAGGGCAGCGAAACCGCGAGGUCAAGCAAAUCCCAUAAAGUUGUUCUCAGUUCGGAUUGUAGUCUGCAACUCGACUACAUGAAGCUGGAAUCGCUAGUAAUCGUAGAUCAGCAUGCUACGGUGAAUACGUUCCCGGGUCUUGUACACACCGCCCGUCACACCACGAGAGUUUGUAACACCCGAAGCCGGUGGAGUAACCUUUUAGGAGCUAGCCGUCGAAGGUGGGACAAAUGAUUGGGGUGAAGUCGUAACAAGGUAGCCGUAUCGGAAGGUGCGGCUGGAUCACCUCCUUUCU